rnacentral:rRNA from 1 species
UACGUAGGUGACAAGCGUUGUCCGGAUUUACUGGGCGUAAAGAGUGCGCAGGCGGUCGUUCAAGUCGAGUGUGAAAGCCCCCGGCUCAACUGGGGAGGGUCAUUCGAUACUGAUCGACUCGAAGGCAGGAGAGGGUAGUGGAAUUCCCGGUGUAGUGGUGAAAUGCGUAGAUAUCGGGAGGAACACCAGUGGCGAAGGCGACUUCCUGGCCUGUUCUUGACGCUGAGGCGCGAAAGCUAGGGGAGCAAACGGG